CCCGGGGCGCGGGCAGGUGCGCGGGGCGGCGCGCGGGCAGGCGGGUGCGUUGCCCUGUGUCACUCGUGUCCCCUGCGGGCGGGCAGAGGAGGAAGCUGCUACACAACUUGUUCCAAGGAUGCUGAAUUGCCAAGAUCCAGGUUUUCAAGCCAUCUUCUGAACAUAGAUGCACUUCAGAGGAAAUCUGUUACUUGCUACAGCCUGACAACUUCAACACUGGGUGAUCUUCCAGGAAGAAAUCUUCAGCAUGCUCUGCCCUCUGGGCACAAAUACUAGCACAGGGGGCAAUGUGAGCCAAAUAGAUGGCAUCAAACCAACAACUGGCCCUGGUUGCUCAGCUGAAUUCCAUUACCAUUUAUCAAAAAACAAAACCAUGCAGCUCUACCAUGCUGACUAAUAAACUAACUGCUUACCUGUUUGGUUCAGCACAUACAAAAUCUCAGGAAGAGAAAUUUGAGGAAAUGAAAUUAAAAAUGAGGACCUAAGAAAAAGAGUCAUUAGCACCUGGCCUUUUGAUCUCUUUUGUAGUUUUUGAUCCUCUAAAGCCACUUUCAGACCCAUUUGGAAGACUGGAAAUUUUCAGAGAUUGAUUGUUACAUUCUCUGUAGUUUUAUGGGGUGAGGGGAGAGGUGGAGAUCCACAGCUGGGAUAGAGAAAGGCAGAACUAAGCAGAAAAGCCCUCUGCAGUACAUGCUGCUUGAGGUUAUUUGGGGGAUGUGGGAGAGAAGGGUACAAAGGCAGACAUCACAGGCUUCAUUAUUUCCACUGCUCGUGGAACAGCUUUUUUAAUUGCUAUACCAGAGUAAUUUGAACAGUUGAAGUCUAUGUCAAUUAAGAAAAAAAUGCACAUCUCAGCAUUUUUAAUCAAUUAACAUUGCUUCUUAAAGGCAGAACCUUUUCAGUCAUCUCCAGAAUAAUACCACUGUUUUUAAUCCAUUGUUUAAAACCACUGAACCAGGAAGUUUGGGUUCCAAAAGGGAAGACAGUUCACAUUCACUGCUCCCUAUCAGUUACUGCAUACUACUGCCAACCUUCUUUGUGGAUAAAGCCUCUGUCCAUUACAUGUCUGUGAGGCACUGUUUUAGAAGUCUAGUAUGAUGAAUAUGAUCAGCUUCCAUAUGCAUGGAAAGUGAAUUACAAGGUAAAUGGAAUAAUUAACACUAAAGAACACACCACACAAAUACACGGAAAUGCCAUAUUCUCACAAUGGCUAAAAAAUUAUUAUGCAUCAAAGAUUUUAUUUGCAUUAACUGAAGAUUCAAAUAUUAAAAUAAGUCUACAUUAAAUUACAAUAUUAAAUAUAUUUUAAAUACAAUAAACUAAAUGUGUUUAGUUUCUAAACACAAAGGGAACAAAAAUAAUUCAGAAGAAUGCAAUACAUUUAAUGACACCAGAUGACAGAACAAGGACUUCAAUAUGUAAAUCCACAAGAUGUCAACUCUUAGCAAUGUUUACUUUAAGAAGAGGUGGUGGCCUUUUAAUUGAAGCACAAAACCCAUAUGACAAACUUAUUAAGGUAUCUCUCAAGAAAAUAUUGCUCAGUUAAAUUCUCAUUUAUGUCAUGAUCAGAACUCCUUUGGUAGCUCUUUUUCAGAAUGGAACACACCAGUAUGCAAAUCCAGGAAAUAAACAGUCUUGUAUUACCACAAAAGUUGUCUUCCAUAUAGUUACAAUUAUCAAACAGAUCUACAGUGUCUUUCACUCUUGAAUUCAAAUCAACUUACAUAUAUAUAUACAGUAUGUAACAAAGUACUCACAAAAUCCUU